rnacentral:rRNA from 1 species
UAACUUCUUCGGGACAAUAGUACAAGGUGCUGCAUGGUUGUCGUCAGCUCGUGUCGUGAGAUGUUGGGUUAAGUCCCGCAACGAGCGCAACCCUUGCCUUUAGUUGCCAGCAGUUCGGCUGGGCACUCUAAAGGGACUGCCGGUGUUAAACCGGAAGAAGGUGGGGGAUGACGUCAAGUCCUCAUGGCCUUUAUGACCAGGGCUACACACGUACUACAAUGGCCGAUACAAAGGGCAGCGACACUGCGAGGUGAAGCCCAAAUCCCCGUAAAAUCGGUCUCAGUCCGGAUUGGAGUCUGCAACUCGACUCCAUGAAGUUGGAAUCGCUAGUAAUCGUGGAUCAGCAUGCCACGGUGAAUACGUUCCCGGGCCUU